UCGAAACCGGGCGUAGACACGCUUUGUUUCAAGCGAUGCCUUUCGAACGACGCUUAACGCCAGUUCCGGAGGCAAAUCUCGAAACAUUUACUCGCAAUAACGAAAACGCACACACGAUCUGUGAUUGUAUAACCUUGGAUUAGAUGUACGCGACACCGUUCAGCGAGCGAGCGAGCGAGCGACCACUCGAACGAAUUUUGUACUGGAGCUGGUUUUCGCAUGACAACGUUGAGUCAUAGUAUAUGGCUAGACAUUUAUCCUUGGAGAAAAAAGAAGUCAAUAGAAUAAUCCAAAGCGUUACAGAACUAAAGUGUGGUAAUAUCACGUGAGAAUUUCAGCCGCUUCGUGCCGUCGAAGGUGUUAAAAAAGAAGCGGAGUGACAUGCCCGUUCUCAACAACUGAGUAUUUUCGGGACCCAAAAUGGAUCCAAGAAAUUUACUCUUCCCCUAAUUUAUCUUGUUUGCGUCAGCUCGAAGGAAACGACCGUCGCAACAACGAUCAGCAACACUUCGCCAUGCCGACGGUGUAUGGGACUCGAGGUGCAUAGCAGCGUUGGCCGUUGUGGUUGGGUCGAUGCAAAAAAGCAACACGCACAUGUACGCUGAAAGGCAAUAGCGCACCCUCAACACGACGACGACGACGACGACGACGACGACGACCAUCAUCUGUGGCGAAGAAUGGAAUGGACGAAAAAAAGGGGGAUGUAAGCUGGCGAGUAGGCCCGAUGAACCGCCCUCUGCAAGAAUGAUUCUUCAGGUGCCGCCAUGAGAAGCCAUACAAGCGGAAAAGCGCCGUAUGGGUCGCAUCGAUUAACGCAAAGCAAGCACUAUUAUACGAAUGAAAUUUGUUUUAAAAGCACUUAUUUAAAAUACCAGCCGGUUCUCAUUGAAAAAAAAAAAAACACCUUUAUCUGAUGCUUCAGUUUGCGCUUUUACCUAUCUAACGCAAGGUACUUUUAUUGAGGUUAUCGCUUAAUGAAGCUAAGCUUAGAAAGGAUGCCGAGAACGCCUUAACCUUCCACUCUUGCCAAAAAUGCGGCUUGUCGAGUUUCCUUUCCUUUGUCUAGCUUUCCUGAACACGUCUCGUUGUAGGCGAUCACGAAA